AUCUCCUAGAGAAUAUAAAAAAACUGAUUAAUGCAAAUGAAUAGGAAUCAUCUAUUGUUGGUUUCCCAUCGCUCUAGAGGCCCCAAUAUCGAUUUUUUAAAAUUUAAGUG